rnacentral:lncRNA from 1 species
UUUUGGCCGUGUGGAAAGCGUGCAGUAGUGUUUGCAUCUCCCGCGCAUUUCCAGAGGAAGUCGGCGAUUUUGACGAGUUGGAACGGAUCUAUGGGGAUUGUUUAUCAAAGGCCAAGCCGUGAUUUCAGGGCUUUAGGAGAGCUACCCGCAGUGAACCUGGAACUCCUCUCUACGUCAACAAAAAUGGUAACUGGAGCAAGACCUUAACUUGCUCCUCAGAGGGUGGCUACUCUACCUUCCCUACAAAAGCAAAAAGGGAACCACAGAUGAUGAACUUUCCUUUAGACUCAUCAUGUAACUGAAAGACUUAUCAGGACCUUGAUGCUUAGAGAAAAUGUUAAAACUAGACACAUUUCCUCAUCUAUUUUCACUGAUAGCCAUUACUGGAAUAUAGCACAGUAUACGGUUCAGAUUUGUGUACCAUUUCUCCUAAUAUGGAUAUGCUGUUUGUAUUUCCAAAGGUAAGAUUUUUGUUUUGCUAAUUAAGGGUGAUAUUUUCUGUUUUUAUCCCAGGUUAAUUUCCUUCACCUUUUUAUGCUCCCUGUCUUACUUUUUUUUUCCCCCCCGUCUUAAUUUUUCAGUUGUUUGAAUUUUUAAGAAAUUUUUAGGAAUGAUAAAACUUACUUUAGGAGCAUAAAACAUUGUCACAAGGGCAGAGGAAUUGGAAUCACCUUGAAAAGACAGAGUUUUUCAUCAAAUUCCAAGUAUAGAAAUCUUUUCUCUAUUGUGAAACUUAUAUUAAGAAUAUUCAUAGACACUUAAUCUAUGUCUUUCAAAUGUUUCUUCUUUUACAUUGUUCUUCAAAGAAUUUCUAACCAUAGCAUUUCACUUGUAUCUCUUUCUCAUUUCUUUAAACAAAGUAUUUAUUGUCAUUUCAAGAACACUAGCCUGGUGGUGUAAAAU